AACGAACGCUGGCGGCAUGCCUAACACAUGCAAGUCGAACGAGACCUUCGUGUCUAGUGGCGCUCGGGUGCGUAAUGUGAGGGAACCUGCCCUUAGGUUCGGAAUGAUUACCUGAAAGGGGUGCUAAGAUCGGUUAAUGUCUCCGUACCUAAGAUUUCUCGCCUUUGGUUGUGGCCUCGUUGGUUUAGCUAGUUGGUAGGGUAAUAGCCUACCAAUGCGACUAUCCAUAGCUGGGCUGUGAGGAUGAUCAGCCACACUGGGACUGAGACACGGCCCAGACUCCUACGGGAGGCAGCAGUGGGGAAUAUUGGACAAUGGGCGAAAGCCUGAUCCAGCAAUGCCGCGUGAGUGAUGAAGGCCUUAGGGUUGUAAAGCUCUUUUACCCGGGAUGAUAAUGACAGUACCGGGAGAAUAAGCUCCGGCUAACUCCGUG
rnacentral:rRNA from 1 species